UAUCAUUUGGGGAAGCCCUGUGGACUCUGCUCUGGACUAUCUGACAUCAUUGCCUUUGUGUGUUCACCUUUUUCUUCCUGCCUGGGGUCUGAGGGGUCAGAGGCACAAGCACUGGCUGAACUCCUGAGCUUGGGAACCCCCUCUGAAUUCCACAGGAAGGGCUGGAUCCCUUUGGAGAUGCUCAUUUUCAAGGGCUCCAGGACUGGAAAUCAAAACCUCCUCAGCAGCCCAUCUAACAAAUUUCUCACUCGCCAGUGACCUUGGUACUGUCAAAUGACCCAUCGGCAGAAAGAGGCCAAAUGCUUCCUCCUCGUUUUCCUAAAGGAUCGAUUGAGAGCGCACAAGGGGAUCCCAGAGGUUUUCAAGUGCGAAUCUUUUCAUUUGUCCCAGGCAAAGGUCUAUACCUUUCCGCAACCCACGGGCAGGGUUUGAAAUAUAAACCCUUUGACUCCCAACCCCCCACCUCCUUUACAGUCUACCAGAACAAUAGCACCCUAGAAAGUCAGGCUUCCAGGGCCACUAACUGUCAUCACUCACACACCCAGUCACUGAGUGAACCAGGAGCACCUCCUCUGGGCUGUUGCUGUUGCAGUAGGGGAUGAGAGACAUGAAGAAAAAGAGGCUGCCUUGCUCUGGACUUCUCCAUUGUGCCCAAGAAAGCUUUUCAUCCUACAAGAUCACUUCAGCCCUGGAACUCAUAUUUUGUUGGCACCCUGGACCCCUCCCUCUCCUCCCAGAAUCUCUGUCCACAAUGAAGGAAGAAAUCCAGGCCAGCCAUCUCUGCUGUCCUCCUUUGGAUGUAUCCAUGAUGCCCCCACACCUCCUUCACCCCUCGCCUUUCUGCUUCCUUUCAAUGGCUGUGUAGCCAUCGAGGGCUGGGGACUGUCUUUGUAAAGCCUGUGGCUUUCUUUAGGUGUUUAAUAAAGUUUAUUGCUGCCCGA